AUUGAACGCUGGCGGCAGGCCUAACACAUGCAAGUCGAACGGUAACAGGAAACAGCUUGCUGUUUCGCUGACGAGUGGCGGACGGGUGAGUAAUGUCUGGGAAACUGCCUGAUGGAGGGGGAUAACUACUGGAAACGGUAGCUAAUACCGCAUAACGUCGCAAGACCAAAGAGGGGGACCCUCGGGCCUCUUGCCAUCGGAUGUGCCCAGAUGGGAUUAGCUUGUUGGUGGGGUAACGGCUCACCAAGGCGACGAUCCCUAGCUGGUCUGAGAGGAUGACCAGCCACACUGGAACUGAGACACGGUCCAGACUCCUACGGGAGGCAGCAGUGGGGAAUAUUGCACAAUGGGCGCAAGCCUGAUGCAGCCAUGCCGCGUGUAUGAAGAAGGCCUUCGGGUUGUAAAGUACUUUCAGCGGGGAGGAAGGGAGUAAAGUUAAUACCUUUGCUCAUUGACGUUACCCGCAGAAGAAGCACCGGCUAACCCCGUG
rnacentral:rRNA from 1 species